GAGUUUGAUCCUGGCUCAGGACGAACGCUGGCGGCGUGCCUAAUACAUGCAAGUCGAGCGAACAGAUGGGAGCUUGCUCCCUGAUGUUAGCGGCGGACGGGUGAGUAACACGUGGGUAACCUGCCUGUAAGACUGGGAUAACUCCGGGAAACCGGGGCUAAUACCGGAUGGUUGUUUGAACCGCAUGGUUCAAACAUAAAAGGUGGCUUCGGCUACCACUUACAGAUGGACCCGCGGCGCAUUAGCUAGUUGGUGAGGUAAUGGCUCACCAAGGCAACGAUGCGUAGCCGACCUGAGAGGGUGAUCGGCCACACUGGGACUGAGACACGGCCCAGACUCCUACGGGAGGCAGCAGUAGGGAAUCUUCCGCAAUGGACGAAAGUCUGACGGAGCAACGCCGCGUGAGUGAUGAAGGUUUUCGGAUCGUAAAGCUCUGUUGUUAGGGAAGAACAAGUACCGUUCGAAUAGGGCGGUACCUUGACGGUACCUAACCAGAAAGCCACGGCUAACUACGUGCCAGCAGCCGCGGUAAUACGUAGGUGGCAAGCGUUGUCCGGAAUUAUUGGGCGUAAAGGGCUCGCAGGCGGUUUCUUAAGUCUGAUGUGAAAGCCCCCGGCUCAACCGGGGAGGGUCAUUGGAAACUGGGAAACUUGAGUGCAGAAGAGGAGAGUGGAAUUCCACGUGUAGCGGUGAAAUGCGUAGAGAAUGUGGAGGAACACCAGUGGCGAAGGCGACUCUCUGGUCUGUAACUGACGCUGAGGAGCGAAAGCGUGGGGAGCGAACAGGAUUAGAUACCCUGGUAGUCCACGCCGUAAACGAUGAGUGCUAGGGUGUUAGGGGGUUUCCGCCCCUUAGUGCUGCAGCUAACGCAUUAAGCACUCCGCCUGGGGGAGUACGGUCGCAAGACUGAAACUCAAAGGAAUUGACGGGGGCCCGCACAAGCGGGGGGAGCAUGUGGUUUAAUUCGAAGCAACGCGAAGAACCUUACCAGGUCUUGACUCCUCUGACAUCC
rnacentral:rRNA from 1 species